rnacentral:misc_RNA from 1 species
AAAUGCGAUAAGUAAUGUGAAUUGCAGAAUUCAGUGAAUCAUCGAAUCUUUGAACGCACCUUGCGCCCGCCAGCACUCUGGCGGGCAUGCCUGUUCGAGCGUCAUUUCAACCCUCAGAACCCCUUGCGGGAUCUGGCGUUGGGGAUUGGCAUCCAGCCAGCCCCGAAAUCUAGUGGCGGUCCCUCCGCGACCUCCCCUGUGCAGUAGCGAUACCUCGCAGCGGGACAGCGGUCUGACCACGCCGUAAAACCCCCAACUUCUCAAGGUUGACCUCGAAUCAGGUAGGAAUACCCGCUGAACUUAAGC